AUACGUAGGGUGCGAGCGUUGUCCGGAAUUACUGGGCGUAAAGAGCUCGUAGGUGGUUUGUCGCGUCGUCUGUGAAAUUCCGGGGCUUAACUCCGGGCGUGCAGGCGAUACGGGCAUAACUUGAGUACUGUAGGGGAGACUGGAAUUCCUGGUGUAGCGGUGAAAUGCGCAGUUAUCAGGAGGAACACCGGUGGCCAAGGCGGAGCUCUGGGAAGUAACUGACGUUGAGACUCCAAAGCAGGGGUAGCGAACAGUAUGAUAUACCCUGGUAGUCCAUGCUGAAAACGGUGGGCGCAAGGUGUAGGUGUCUGCCCCGCUUUCUGCUCCUUAGCUAACGCAAUACGCGCCCCGCCUGGGGAGUACGGCCUCAAGGCUGAAACUCAAAGGAAUUGACGUGG
rnacentral:rRNA from 1 species